rnacentral:snRNA from 1 species
UCAAUAAAAUAGCUAAAAAGUGAAAAAGUGAAAAGUGGUUCACCCAGGGCGAGGCUCAGCCAUUGCACUCCGGCUGUGCUGACCCCUGCAAAUUCCCCAAAUGUGGGAAUCUCGACUGCAUAAUUUAUGGUAGUGGGGGACUGCGUCCGCGCUCUCCCCUG